UUAAUUUUAAAAAUAUUCUUUAUGUUUGUUUACAUUAUUUUAUAUUGAUUUAUUUUAUUUUUAAAUAAGUAGAUUUUGAAAAUCUUGGUAAUUUUGAAUUAUGUGGGUAGCUUUUGGAUAUUCUAUACUACAGAAUGUGUAGCUUUAACUUUCUAAAUAUAUGUGUUUUAAGUUCCUACUGCUUUGAUUUUUCAAGUUUUUGUUCUUUUAAAAAAUACUAAUAAUUUUAUGUUUGAUGUUAACGUAGUAUAUAUGUCAAGUUAAUUCUUUUUAUUUUUUAGUUUACUUUGAUUAAUAUGUAAUUAUUUUUUAUUUUGAAUUAAUUUGUUUGUUGAAAAUAAUGAUAUUUUAGAAAAUA
rnacentral:lncRNA from 1 species